rnacentral:rRNA from 1 species
AUUGAACGCUGGCGGCAGGCCUAACACAUGCAAGUCGAGCGAGCGGCGGACGGGUGAGUAAUGCCUGGGAAUUGCUCAGGAGAGGGGGAUAACAGUUGGAAACGACUGCUAAUAGCGCAUAAGAGUGGAUUGGGCAGGUGGGAUUAGCUAGUUGGUGAGGUAAUGGCUCACCAAGGCGACGAUCCCUAGCGGGUCUGAGAGGCUGAUCAGCCACACUGGAACUGAGACACGGUCCAGACUCCUCCGGGAGGCAGCAGUGGGGAAUAUUGCACAAUGGGGGAAACCCUGAUGCAGCCAUGCCGCGUGUGUGAUGAAGGCCUUCGGGUUGUAAAUCACUUUCAGCGGGGAAGCGUUACUCGCAGAAUAAGCACCGGCUAACUCCGUGCCAGCCGCCGCGGUAAUAC